rnacentral:rRNA from 1 species
UGCUCCUUGUUGUUCAAUGGGCAUAGGGAGUCGGACCUGCUCGGUGAAUUAUUUUAACAGCCGCGGUACUCUGACCGUGCAAAGGUAGCAUAAUCAUUUGCCUUAUAAUUGAAGGCUAGUAUGAAUGGUUUGACGAGAAUUAAGCUGUCUCUUUUUAACUAAAUAUAACUUUAUUAAUAGGUGAAGAAGCCUAUAUUUUAUUGAAAGACAAGAAGACCCUAUCGAGCUUUAAAAAAUUUAGUAGAUUUACCACAUAUUUAUAAAAAAGUAAUUCUACUAAAAACUUUGGUUGGGGCGACUGAGGAACAAAUAAAGCUUCCUCUAUAAUUAAAAAGCUAACAAGUAUUGAUCCAGCAAGUCUGAUUAAAGAAAUUAGUUACCGUAGGGAUAACAGCAUAAUCUCCUUUGAGAGCUCUUAUCGAAAAGGAGGUUUGUGACCUCGAUGUUGGACCAGAAUACCCCGAAGAUGCAGCCGUCUUCAAUGGUUGGUCUGUUCGACCAUUAAAAUUCUACGUGAUCUGAGUUCAGACCGGCGUGAGCCAGGUCAGUUUCUAUCUUCAAUUUUUGAAAUAGCCUUAGUACGAAAGGACCAGGACGUUACAAAAGUGUUUGUACUGCUUUGAUUAAAUAUAAGGGGUAAAUUAAGUUUAUAAAUAUCAAAUUAGCAAAGAUUAAUGCAAUUGACUUAGGAUCAAUAGACAUAGGUGAAAUCCCUUUAUUUGAUAGAUAAAGAUGGCAGAAAAA